CUACGGGCCGCACCAGUCGAGAAUUUUUCACAAUGGGGGAAACCCUGAUGGAGCGACGCCGCGUGGAGGAUGACGGUUUUCGGAUUGUAAACUCCUGUCAUUAGAGAACAAGGCACACGGUUUAACUGGCCGUGUGUUGAUAGUAUCUGAAGAGGAAGAGACGGCUAACUCUGUGCCAGCAGCCGCGGUAAUACAGAGGUCUCAAGCGUUGUUCGGAUUCAUUGGGCGUAAAGGGUGCGUAGGUGGCGAUGUAAGUCGGAUGUGAAAUCUCCAAGCUUAACUUGGAAACUGCAUUCGAUACUGCGUUGCUCGAGGACUGUAGAGGGCAUUGGAAUUCACGGUGUAGCAGUGAAAUGCGUAGAUAUCGUGAGGAAGACCAGUGGCGAAGGCGAAUGCCUGGGCAGUUCCUGACACUGAGGCACGAAGGCCAGGGGAGCAAACGGGAUUAGAUACCCCUGUAGUC
rnacentral:rRNA from 1 species